GGUUUCAAUCCAGAUUUUUCAUGUAUUUGCAUAUAUUAUAAUGCUGACCAAUGACUGGAGAAAACACUGACGACGCGGCUGCGGUCACGGACAAACUUGCACGUGUCUGUUCGGGAAUGGCAGAUGCUGAGAGGUCCAGCGUUUACAUUACCGACUAUUUCAAAGUGACAGCCUGAGGUGUUCUUCAGUAAAUUGGACUACCGGACAGGAGGACCUGAGGCCCCACCGCAUUAUUUUUGGUAAGUUAAAUGUGUUUGUAAGCUAAUCCGUAAUUUAGGUCCUUAGCUAGCUACCUAGCUCCAUCAUCUCAUCUUUGCAGAUGUCCAUUUAUAAAGUAUCAACAACUCAAAGGAGCUGUCCUCAGAUUCAGACCUCAGCACCACCCAGUGACAGCAGACAGAUCAUCCUAUAUCUUCAAUCUUUGUAGUAACUCCAAAAUUAACUGAAGAAAACAGUACAAAGGUUAAAGUACCACAUGUGCUGUCAGUGAAAGCUGCAGCUGUUUUAUUGAUAAAUUUAAAGACAAAAAGUCAAAAGGAUUAAUCACCCCUGUAACUGUGUCACUAUACAUCAGCAUUAACAGGACCUCAGUUUGGUGUUUCAGAAAACUGCUGAUCUCAGACCUGCACAACUUCUGUUUUAAACACUGAAUGUACUCAGCUACAUGAAGAGCACAUGAUGUUUUCUCUGACACAAUUAAAUAAAACCUGAUUAAA